rnacentral:rRNA from 1 species
GACGAACGCUGGCGGCGUGCUUAACACAUGCAAGUCGAACGGAAAGGCCCUGAUUUUGUGGGGUGCUCGAGAGGCGAGCGGGUGAGUAAAACGUGAGUAACAUGCACCUGACUUUGGGAGAACUUCAGGAAAAUGGGGCUAAUACCGGAUAGGAGAUCCUGCUGCGUGGGGGGGGAUGGAAAGAUUCGGCGGUUGGGUCUGGACUCGCGGGUUAUCCGCCUGUUGGUGGGGUAGUGGCUGAAAAAGUCUAUGACGGGUAGCCGGCCUGGGAGGGUGACCGGGCACAAUGGGACUGCGAUACGGCCCAGUCUCCUACGUGCGGCAGCAGUGGGGAAUAUUGCACAAUGGGCGGAAGCCAGAUACAGCAGCGCCGCGUGCGGGAUAUCGUCCUUCGGGUUGUAAACCGCUGUCGCCUGAGAUGAAGCGUGAUUGACGGUAAUGGGUAAAGAAGCACCGGCUAACUACGUG